UUUUGGGGCCAGGUCGUCGCUCCAGGUUCUUUGAUCCCAAGGCGUGGGUAACGCCGCGCCCGAUAGUGCUUGGAGAGGAAAGUCCGGACACCACAGGGCAGGAUGCUGCACGAGCCCGGCCCGCCGUCGCUUCUUCGGAGCUAUGGCGGGCAAGCAAGUGCAGGCGCCGCGUUUCAAAGCGCGGUGACGGAAAGUGUCACAGAAAACAAACCGCUGAUCGGAAAAUCGGGAAAUUGCGAAAGCAGAAAACCGAAAAAUGGAUUGGCAAGGGUGAAAAGGUGGGGCAAGAGCCCACCGCGCCGCGCCGCGAGGCCGGUGGCACGAAAAACCCCUUCCGGUGCAAGGCAAAAUAGGCGGCUGGACGGCCCGUCCGAUAGCCGCGGGUAUGCCGCAUUCUCCUUCGCUUGUGCGCCGCAAGGUGCGCAGCUUCGGAGAACAAGUCCGCCUUCGCGGGCUUGAGAGAAAUGACGGUCACUGCGCCGUCAGGCGCGGAACAGAAUCCGGCUUACCGGCCCCAAAACUAA
rnacentral:RNase_P_RNA from 1 species